rnacentral:rRNA from 1 species
UACGGGGGGGGCAAGCGUUGUUCGGAAUUACUGGGCGUAAAGGGCGCGUAGGUGGCGCUCCAAGUCUGUGGUGAAAGCUCGAUGCUUAACAUCGAGUCGGCCACGGAGACUGGAGGGCUCGAGCACUGUAGGGGCAGAUGGAAUUCCGGGUGUAGCGGUGGAAUGCGUAGAGAUCCGGAAGAACACCGGUGGCGAAGGCGGUCUGCUGGGCAGUAGCUGACACUGAGGCGCGACAGCGUGGGGAGCAAACAGG